UACGAAGGGGGCUAGCGUUGCUCGGAAUUACUGGGCGUAAAGCGCACGUAGGCGGCUUUCUAAGUCGGGGUGAAUCCUGGAGCUCAACUCCAGAACUGCCUUCGAUACUGGAAGCUCGAGUCCGGGAGAGGUGAGUGGAACUGCGAGUGUAGAGGUGAAAUUCGUAGAUAUUCGCAAGAACACCAGUGGCGAAGGCGGCUCACUGGCCCGGUACUGACGCUGAGGUGCGAAAGCGUGGGGAGCAAACAGG
rnacentral:rRNA from 1 species